GGGAGGAGUCCACACUAGAAGGCCCAGUCCAGAGGCCAGCAGACAGCUUCUCUUGCAGUUCUAUUUUCCUGGGAAGACCAGCUCUUAGCAAGGACAGACACCAUCCAGAUGGGUCACUGGGAGUCCACAAGCCCCGCCCACCAGGAUUCAAACCACAGGCCACACCCAGGCCUGGCUGGGAAUGGGCAUCUUUCAUGUUAAGAAAUAUGAACCUCCAGGAUUCCAUAUAGGUCUGGGAGUGUCCUCACAGAGAACCCUUUGUGCCUGGGAGAGGGGUGGCCUGUUGAUUCUGGCAGGUGUCCAGGCAUUGCUUACCUCCAGCCACCCUGCCCUGGGGCUCCCCACCUUCCCCCUUCUGUUGGCACCUCCCUUCCUCCCAGGGCACAGCCACUCUACGGAGGGCAGGAACUCAGGAGGAGGCCUAGCUCUGAUGGAACCAGGACCCUGAGAGCCUCAGGGAGGCUGAGAUGACUCCAAGGAGAGCGGGGCUCAGGGGACAGUCACAGGAUGAGGGGGCUUGGAGUCGAGAAGAGGACACGGAUGGGCCAGGCCAGGGCUGGGAUGGAGUUGCAACACCUUCCGGUCUUAGUGAUGAACUGAAUACAAAGAGAGACAGCCAAACAGGAGCUGAUUACCAAGUAUGGAUACAAUGUAACCAACUUAUCCCCCAACUGUGGAUACAAUGUACCAGCCGUGUCUGGAACACAGAUACAAUGUAACCAGCUGUGAAUAUGGAUACAAUGUACCAGCCGUGUCUGGAGUACAG
rnacentral:lncRNA from 1 species